GUGGGGAAUCUUGCGCAAUGGGCGAAAGCCUGACGCAGCCAUGCCGCGUGAAUGAUGAAGGUCUUAGGAUUGUAAAAUUCUUUCACCGGGGACGAUAAUGACGGUACCCGGAGAAGAAGCUCCGGCUAACUUCGUGCCAGCAGCCGCGGUAAUACGAAGGGGGCUAGCGUUGCUCGGAAUUACUGGGCGUAAAGGGCGCGUAGGCGGACAGCUUAGUCAGAGGUGAAAGCCCAGGGCUCAACCUUGGAAUUGCCUUUGAUACUGGCUGUCUUGAGUUUGGGAGAGGUGAGUGGAACUCCGAGUGUAGAGGUGAAAUUCGUAGAUAUAGGAAGGAACACCAGUGGCGAAGGCGACUACCUGGACUGAUACUGACACUGAGGUGCGAAAGCGUGGGGAGCAAACAGGAUUAGAUACCCCAGUAGUCC
rnacentral:rRNA from 1 species